GAGAGAGUCAAAAUGAAAAUGGAUAUAUGAGUAAAUGUUGGUGACCUAAAAGAAGUAAUGGGUCAUUUUUCAUACCCAUAUAACAUUACCCUUGUGAUUGGAGAUCUAAUAAUCGCUCAACCUCUUCUGAUCAUUAAUCAUGUAUAACCUUUGCUUUACCAAUGCUUAUUUCUAACUCAAUCCUUCAAUUUUCUUAUUCAAAGGAAUUACAUAUAAAUGAAACAGAAAUUGAAUCCCACAACUAAUUUCAUAUAACAAGAAAUAUACAUUCCCUCAUAUCUCUUAUGUAUAGACAAUUAAAUUUACCACUGGAGAUUGGGAUAGUGGUGUUAACAAGGGAAAGCGAAAGCACACUACACGCAUGGAGAAGAAAAGGUGUAGAGUUAGGAUGAGGCUAUGAGUGGGUGCACUAAAUCAUAGGUGGUAGCCCACAUCAUGGUGUUUAUACCAUCACCAUGUCCAAAUUAGAGCCCUAAAUUCCCUCUAGUACGUGUGAAUAUGUGGGCCAGCAGAGUAAAUCAUCUACUUCAAUCCGACAUUGUUCGUCGUUGUGUUCCUAAUAAAAUAGGUUAACUUCCAAAGGAAUAUUG
rnacentral:misc_RNA from 1 species